AAAUUGAAGAGUUUGAUCAUGGCUCAGAUUGAACGCUGGCGGCAGGCCUAACACAUGCAAGUCGAACGGUAACAGGAAACAGCUUGCUGUUUCGCUGACGAGUGGCGGACGGGUGAGUAAUGUCUGGGAAACUGCCUGAUGGAGGGGGAUAACUACUGGAAACGGUAGCUAAUACCGCAUAAUGUCGCAAGACUAAAGAGGGGGACCUUCGGGCCUCUUGCCAUCGGAUGUGCCCAGAUGGGAUUAGCUAGUAGGUGGGGUAACGGCUCACCUAGGCGACGAUCCCUAGCUGGUCUGAGAGGAUGACCAGCCACACUGGAACUGAGACACGGUCCAGACUCCUACGGGAGGCAGCAGUGGGGAAUAUUGCACAAUGGGCGCAAGCCUGAUGCAGCCAUGCCGCGUGUAUGAAGAAGGCCUUCGGGUUGUAAAGUACUUUCAGCGGG
rnacentral:rRNA from 1 species